UACAGAGGUCUCAAGCGUUGUUCGGAUUCAUUGGGCGUAAAGGGUGCGUAGGCGGCGCGGCAAGUCGGGUGUGAAAGCCCGGGGCUCACCCCCGGAAGGGCAUUGGAAACUGGCGGACUCGAGUCCCGGAGAGGAAGGUGGAAUUCCUGGUGUAGCGGUGAAAUGCGUAGAUAUCAGGAGGAAUACCGGUGGCGAAGGCGGCCUUCUGGACGGUGACUGACGCUGAGACGCGAAAGCGUGGGGAGCAAACAGG
rnacentral:rRNA from 1 species